CUGCUUGGCGGCGUGCUUACCAUGCAGUCGAACGAUGAACCGCUUUCGGGCGGGGAUUAGUGGCGAACGGGUGAGUAACACGUGGGCAAUCUGCCCUGCACUCUGGGACAAGCCCUGGAAACGGGGUCUAAUACCGGAUAUGACUGUCCAUCGCAUGGUGGAUGGUGUAAAGCUCCGGCGGUGCAGGAUGAGCCCGCGGCCUAUCAGCUUGUUGGUGAGGUAGUGGCUCACCAAGGCGACGACGGGUAGCCGGCCUGAGAGGGCGACCGGCCACACUGGGACUGAGACACGGCCCAGACUCCUACGGGAGGCAGCAGUGGGGAAUAUUGCACAAUGGGCGAAAGCCUGAUGCAGCGACGCCGCGUGAGGGAUGACGGCCUUCGGGUUGUAAACCUCUUUCAGCAGGGAAGAAGCGAAAGUGACGGUACCUGCAGAAGAAGCGCCGGCUAACUACGUGCCAGCAGCCGCGGUAAUACGUAGGGCGCAAGCGUUGUCCGGAAUUAUUGGGCGUAAAGAGCUCGUAGGCGGCUUGUCACGUCGGUUGUGAAAGCCCGGGGCUUAACCCCGGGUCUGCAGUCGAUACGGGCAGGCUAGAGUUCGGUAGGGGAGAUCGGAAUUCCUGGUGUAGCGGUGAAAUGCGCAGAUAUCAGGAGGAACACCGGUGGCGAAGGCGGAUCUCUGGGCCGAUACUGACGCUGAGGAGCGAAAGCGUGGGGAGCGAACAGGAUUAGAUACCCUGGUAGUCUACGCUGUAUACGGG
rnacentral:rRNA from 1 species